GGACCGUUGAUGCAGUGGUAGCAUGCUUGACUUCGGACUACGAGGAAUCAAGAUGUCGUGCGUUCGACCCGCACACGGUUCG